rnacentral:rRNA from 1 species
AAACGCUUGAAGUCAGUCUUGUACUUGGUUGUUCAGCCCUCGGGUGUAUUCAACUUUGUACAGGCCAGCAUCAGUUUUAGAUGUUGGAUAAGGGCAGAGGAAAUGUAGCAGUUUUGGCUGUGUUAUAGUCCUUUGCUUGAUACAACGUCCAGGACUGAGGAAUGCAGUGAGCCUUUUGGUGGGUCUUUGACCUUCUCACUAUGGAUGCUGGCGUAAUGGCUUUAAACGA